rnacentral:misc_RNA from 1 species
AACUUUUAGCAACGGAUCACUUGGCUCUCGCAUCGAUGAAGAACGCAGCGAAAUGCGAUACGUAAUGUGAAUUGCAGACUUCAGUGAAUCAUCGAAUCUUUGAACGCAUAUUGCGCCCUCUGGUAUUCCGGAGGGCAUGCUUGUUGGAGUAUCAGUAACAACCUCAGCCCCAUUCUCUUCACUUCGAGGUGUUAUGGGUUGGAUUUGAGCAAAUCCACCCUACUUUAGGGGCGGAUGCUUGAAAUAGAGUUUCGGCCAGACGGUUAAUUCCCUGGGCUACAAGCAUUUCAUACUUAAUCCCGUUAAACGGAUUAUUUCCUUUGCUGCAGCCAACUAACAGGUAAUCGUCAGGUCUGACUGAUGCAGGCAAGUUGAGACGGAUUUCGGUCCGCGCUCUCUUCUAAACUCGAUCUCAAAUCAAGUAAGACUACCCGCUGAACUUAAGCAUAUCAAUAAGCGGAGGUU